rnacentral:rRNA from 1 species
CNCCAGUGGCGAAGGCGACUUUCUGGACGAAAACUGACGCUGAGGCGCGAAANCCAGGGGAGCGAACGGGAUUAGAUACCCCGGUAGUCCUGGCCGUAAACGAUGGGUACUAGGUGUAGGAGGUAUCGACCCCUUCUGUGCCGGAGUUAACGCAAUAAGUACCCCGCCUGGGGAGUACGACCGCAAGGUUGAAACUCAAAGGAAUUGGCGGGGGCCCGCACAAGCGGUGGAGUAUGUGGUUUAAUUCGACGCAACGCGAAGAACCUUACCAGGUCUUGACAUUGAUGGACAGAACUAGAGAUAGUUCCUCUUCUUCGGAAGCCAGAAAACAGGUGGUGCACGGUUGUCGUCAGCUCGUGUCGUGAGAUGUUGGGCUAANNNNNNNNNCGAGCGCAACCCCAAUCUUAUGUUGCCAGCACGUAAAGGUGGGAACUCAUGAGAGACUGCCGCAGACAAUGCGGAGGAAGGCGGGGAUGACGUCAAAUCAUCAUGCCCCUUAUGACCUGGGCUACACACGUACUACAAUGGGAGUUAAUAGACGGAAGCGAGACCGCGAGAUGGAGCAAACCCGAGAAACACUCUCUCAGUUCGGAUCGUAGGCUGCAACUCGCCUACGUGAAGUCGGAAUCGCUAGUAAUCGCAGGUCAGCAUACUGCGGUGAAUACGUUCCCGGGCCU